rnacentral:rRNA from 1 species
AGAGUUUGAUCCUGGCUCAGAUUGAACGCUGGCGGCAGGCCUAACACAUGCAAGUCGAGCGGUAGCACAGGGAGCUUGCUCUCGGGUGACGAGCGGCGGACGGGUGAGUAAUGUCUGGGAAACUGCCUGAUGGAGGGGGAUAACUACUGGAAACGGUAGCUAAUACCGCAUAACGUCGCAAGACCAAAGAGGGGGACCUUCGGGCCUCUUGCCAUCAGAUGUGCCCAGAUGGGAUUAGCUAGUAGGUGGGGUAACGGCUCACCUAGGCGACGAUCCCUAGCUGGUCUGAGAGGAUGACCAGCCACACUGGAACUGAGACACGGUCCAGACUCCUACGGGAGGCAGCAGUGGGGAAUAUUGCACAAUGGGCGCAAGCCUGAUGCAGCCAUGCCGCGUGUAUGAAGAAGGCCUUCGGGUUGUAAAGUACUUUCAGCGAGGAGGAAGGUGCUGAGGUUAAUAACCUCAGCAAUUGACGUUACUCGCAGAAGAAGCACCGGCUAACUCCGUGCCAGCAGCCGCGGUAAUACGGAGGGUGCAAGCGUUAAUCGGAAUUACUGGGCGUAAAGCGCACGCAGGCGGUCUGUCAAGUCGGAUGUGAAAUCCCCGGGCUCAACCUGGGAACUGCAUUCGAAACUGGCAGGCUAGAGUCUUGUAGAGGGGGGUAGAAUUCCAGGUGUAGCGGUGAAAUGCGUAGAGAUCUGGAGGAAUACCGGUGGCGAAGGCGGCCCCCUGGACAAAGACUGACGCUCAGGUGCGAAAGCGUGGGGAGCAAACAGGAUUAGAUACCCUGGUAGUCCACGCCGUAAACGAUGUCGACUUGGAGGUUGUGCCCUUGAGGCGUGGCUUCCGGAGCUAACGCGUUAAGUCGACCGCCUGGGGAGUACGGCCGCAAGGUUAAAACUCAAAUGAAUUGACGGGGGCCCGCACAAGCGGUGGAGCAUGUGGUUUAAUUCGAUGCAACGCGAAGAACCUUACCUACUCUUGACAUCCAGAGAACUUAGCAGAGAUGCUUUGGUGCCUUCGGGAACUCUGAGACAGGUGCUGCAUGGCUGUCGUCAGCUCGUGUUGUGAAAUGUUGGGUUAAGUCCCGCAACGAGCGCAACCCUUAUCCUUUGUUGCCAGCGGUUAGGCCGGGAACUCAAAGGAGACUGCCAGUGAUAAACUGGAGGAAGGUGGGGAUGACGUCAAGUCAUCAUGGCCCUUACGAGUAGGGCUACACACGUGCUACAAUGGCGCAUACAAAGAGAAGCGACCUCGCGAGAGCAAGCGGACCUCAUAAAGUGCGUCGUAGUCCGGAUUGGAGUCUGCAACUCGACUCCAUGAAGUCGGAAUCGCUAGUAAUCGUAGAUCAGAAUGCUACGGUGAAUACGUUCCCGGGCCUUGUACACACCGCCCGUCACACCAUGGGAGUGGGUUGCAAAAGAAGUAGGUAGCUUAACCUUCGGGAGGGCGCUUACCACUUUGUGAUUCAUGACUGGGGUGAAGUCGUAACAAGGUAGCC